rnacentral:ncRNA from 2 species
CUUAAUAUGAGCGAUGGGGUUCGCUGUUAACCGUCCUUGAUUGUUUAAGGAAUGAUAACCCCUACUGAACC